rnacentral:rRNA from 1 species
UUAAGCGACUAAGCGUACACGGUGGAUGCCCUGGCAGUCAGAGGCGAUGAAGGACGUGCUAAUCUGCGAUAAGCGUCGGUAAGGUGAUAUGAACCGUUAUAACCGGCGAUUUCCGAAUGGGGAAACCCAGUGUGUUUCGACACACUAUCAUUAACUGAAUCCAUAGGUUAAUGAGGCGAACCGGGGGAACUGAAACAUCUAAGUACCCCGAGGAAAAGAAAUCAACCGAGAUUCCCCCAGUAGCGGCGAGCGAACGGGGAGCAGCCCAGAGCCUGAAUCAGUGUGUGUGUUAGUGGAAGCGUCUGGAAAGGCGCGCGAUACAGGGUGACAGCCCCGUACACAAAAAUGCACAUGCUGUGAGCUCGAUGAGUAGGGCGGGACACGUGGUAUCCUGUCUGAAUAUGGGGGGACCAUCCUCCAAGGCUAAAUACUCCUGACUGACCGAUAGUGAACCAGUACCGUGAGGGAAAGGCGAAAAGAACCCCGGCGAGGGGAGUGAAAAAGAACCUGAAACCGUGUACGUACAAGCAGUGGGAGCACGCUUAGGCGUGUGACUGCGUACCUUUUGUAUAAUGGGUCAGCGACUUAUAUUCUGUAGCAAGGUUAACCGAAUAGGGGAGCCGAAGGGAAACCGAGUCUUAACUGGGCGUUAAGUUGCAGGGUAUAGACCCGAAACCCGGUGAUCUAGCCAUGGGCAGGUUGAAGGUUGGGUAACACUAACUGGAGGACCGAACCGACUAAUGUUGAAAAAUUAGCGGAUGACUUGUGGCUGGGGGUGAAAGGCCAAUCAAACCGGGAGAUAGCUGGUUCUCCCCGAAAGCUAUUUAGGUAGCGCCUCGUGAAUUCAUCUCCGGGGGUAGAGCACUGUUUCGGCAAGGGGGUCAUCCCGACUUACCAACCCGAUGCAAACUGCGAAUACCGGAGAAUGUUAUCACGGGAGACACACGGCGGGUGCUAACGUCCGUCGUGAAGAGGGAAACAACCCAGACCGCCAGCUAAGGUCCCAAAGUCAUGGUUAAGUGGGAAACGAUGUGGGAAGGCCCAGACAGCCAGGAUGUUGGCUUAGAAGCAGCCAUCAUUUAAAGAAAGCGUAAUAGCUCACUGGUCGAGUCGGCCUGCGCGGAAGAUGUAACGGGGCUAAACCAUGCACCGAAGCUGCGGCAGCGACGCUUAUGCGUUGUUGGGUAGGGGAGCGUUCUGUAAGCCUGCGAAGGUGUGCUGUGAGGCAUGCUGGAGGUAUCAGAAGUGCGAAUGCUGACAUAAGUAACGAUAAAGCGGGUGAAAAGCCCGCUCGCCGGAAGACCAAGGGUUCCUGUCCAACGUUAAUCGGGGCAGGGUGAGUCGACCCCUAAGGCGAGGCCGAAAGGCGUAGUCGAUGGGAAACAGGUUAAUAUUCCUGUACUUGGUGUUACUGCGAAGGGGGGACGGAGAAGGCUAUGUUGGCCGGGCGACGGUUGUCCCGGUUUAAGCGUGUAGGCUGGUUUUCCAGGCAAAUCCGGAAAACUAAGGCUGAGGCGUGAUGACGAGGCACUACGGUGCUGAAGCAACAAAUGCCCUGCUUCCAGGAAAAGCCUCUAAGCAUCAGGUAACAUCAAAUCGUACCCCAAACCGACACAGGUGGUCAGGUAGAGAAUACCAAGGCGCUUGAGAGAACUCGGGUGAAGGAACUAGGCAAAAUGGUGCCGUAACUUCGGGAGAAGGCACGCUGAUAUGUAGGUGAAGUCCCUCGCGGAUGGAGCUGAAAUCAGUCGAAGAUACCAGCUGGCUGCAACUGUUUAUUAAAAACACAGCACUGUGCAAACACGAAAGUGGACGUAUACGGUGUGACGCCUGCCCGGUGCCGGAAGGUUAAUUGAUGGGGUCAGCGCAAGCGAAGCUCUUGAUCGAAGCCCCGGUAAACGGCGGCCGUAACUAUAACGGUCCUAAGGUAGCGAAAUUCCUUGUCGGGUAAGUUCCGACCUGCACGAAUGGCGUAAUGAUGGCCAGGCUGUCUCCACCCGAGACUCAGUGAAAUUGAACUCGCUGUGAAGAUGCAGUGUACCCGCGGCAAGACGGAAAGACCCCGUGAACCUUUACUAUAGCUUGACACUGAACAUUGAGCCUUGAUGUGUAGGAUAGGUGGGAGGCUUGGAAGUGUGGACGCCAGUCUGCAUGGAGCCGACCUUGAAAUACCACCCUUUAAUGUUUGAUGUUCUAACGUGGACCCGUGAUCCGGGUUGCGGACAGUGUCUGGUGGGUAGUUUGACUGGGGCGGUCUCCUCCUAAAGAGUAACGGAGGAGCACGAAGGUUGGCUAAUCCUGGUCGGACAUCAGGAGGUUAGUGCAAUGGCAUAAGCCAGCUUGACUGCGAGCGUGACGGCGCGAGCAGGUGCGAAAGCAGGUCAUAGUGAUCCGGUGGUUCUGAAUGGAAGGGCCAUCGCUCAACGGAUAAAAGGUACUCCGGGGAUAACAGGCUGAUACCGCCCAAGAGUUCAUAUCGACGGCGGUGUUUGGCACCUCGAUGUCGGCUCAUCACAUCCUGGGGCUGAAGUAGGUCCCAAGGGUAUGGCUGUUCGCCAUUUAAAGUGGUACGCGAGCUGGGUUUAGAACGUCGUGAGACAGUUCGGUCCCUAUCUGCCGUGGGCGCUGGAGAACUGAGGGGGGCUGCUCCUAGUACGAGAGGACCGGAGUGGACGCAUCACUGGUGUUCGGGUUGUCAUGCCAAUGGCACUGCCCGGUAGCUAAAUGCGGAAGAGAUAAGUGCUGAAAGCAUCUAAGCACGAAACUUGCCCCGAGAUGAGUUCUCCCUGACUCCUUGAGAGUCCUGAAGGAACGUUGAAGACGACGACGUUGAUAGGCCGGGUGUGUAAGCGCAGCGAUGCGUUGAGCUAACCGGUACUAAUGAACCGUGAGGCUUAACCUU